rnacentral:rRNA from 1 species
AGAGUUUGAUCAUGGCUCAGGACGAACGCUGACGGUGUGCUUUAGGCAUGCAAGUCGAACGAGAAAACCCUUCGGGGUGAGUAAAGUGGCGAACGGGUGAGUAACACGUGGGCAACCUGCCCCUCGCAGGGGGACAACCGGAGGAAACUCCGGCUAAUACCCCGUACGCUUGUUGGAUCGCAUGGUCCGGCAAGGAAAGGUAGCUUCGGCCAUCCGGCGAGGGAUGGGCCCGCGUUGCAUUAGCUAGUUGGUGGGGUAACGGCCUACCAAGGCGACGAUGCGUAGCUGGUCUGAGAGGAUGAUCAGCCACACUGGGACUGAGACACGGCCCAGACUCCUACGGGAGGCAGCAGCCAGGAAUCUUGGGCAAUGGGCGAAAGCCUGACCCAGCAACACCGUGUGGGCGACGAAGGCCUUAGGGUCGUAAAGCCCUGUUGAUAGGGACGAAGGGCGAAGGGUUAAUAGCCCCUAGCUUGACGGUACCUUUCGAGGAAGCCCCGGCUAACUACGUGCCAGCAGCCGCGGUAAUACGUAGGGGGCGAGCGUUGUCCGGAAUUAUUGGGCGUAAAGAGCGUGUAGGCGGUUCGGUAAGUCUGCUGUGAAAUCCUGGGGCUCAACCCUGGGCGUGCAGCGGAUACUGCCGGGCUAGAGGGUGGUAGAGGCGAGUGGAAUUCCGAGUGUAGCGGUGAAAUGCGCAGAUAUUCGGAGGAACACCAGUAGCGAAGGCGGCUCGCUGGGCCACACCUGACGCUGAGACGCGAAAGCGUGGGGAGCGAACAGGAUUAGAUACCCCUGUAGUCC